rnacentral:misc_RNA from 1 species
UUAACAGUUCGCUAAGAACACUCAGAAGUAUCGUCGGGUUCAAACAGAGAUGCUGACGGUACCGGCGGGCCCGCCCGGGGGCGAGCCGCCGAAGCAACAGUUAUAGGUUCACAAAGGGUUAUGAGUUUGCACUCGGUAAUGAUCCCUCCGCUGGUUCACCAACGGAGA